GAAAAAUUGAAAUAUGCAUGAAACUGAAACACAUUAUCUGCUGCAAGAGAGAGGUGUGAGAAAACACACAAUGACAAUACAUUGGGAGAUAGUUCUACAGGAGUGAGAACAGCAUGCUCUAUGCAGGAAAGAAAAAGAAUGGUGAUGUCUUUUACGGCUGUAGGAGUCCAAAUAGCAAAGCCUGGUGCAGUUAGAAGAGCAAACAUGUAGGAGAAAAAAUAGCACCCUGACGUUCUUAUCUGACCUACCCAGCUGGAGAGAGCCUGAAAUCCCAUAUUCAGAGAAGCCAGGCAGCCAGGCCAAAGCCCAAGAGCCCACAGGUGUCAAGGGCAGGAUGUCUGGGAAUGGGUCAAGGGCAUGGGGCAGAGCCAGGUGGGUAAUCAAAGAGCUAACAUAGACCUAAUGCACAUGAGGUACGGAGUCCUUGGAAUGAGGCUUGCUGUACCCUGGGGUGUAGCAGGAGACUCCCAGUCAUUGACUGACUUCCCAGAGCAAGGCCACUUAGGCCGGAUGUUCAGAUUAACAGGGCAGGUCUCGCACAGCAUUGGCCACACAAGACUGCAUCUAACCACAAUUGAUGCACAGCGGACUAACAGAAUCGUCCUUCAGUAGGCCUCUGUAGUAGUUAUUUAUCAAAUUUUGUUGCCAAGAAUAACCUGACUUCCACCACCAUAUGUGAUUUUGAAAAGAACAACAACCUCCAGACUGAGCUUCCCAUCAACAGGGCAGAUCUUCUGAUGACUGUCCCCAUCCCACCUUACGACCAGGUGGAAGUGAUGUGACCUAAGUUCAACCUAUCAAAUUUAGGUUCCAAGGGAACCUGUUCCCUGUUCCAAGGGAAUGACCUUGGAGUUAGAAAAUGCUACCCACCCUUUU